ACUCCGACCCGAGCCCCAAUGUUAACCCCAGCCCGAUUUUGGAUAAUGCAACCAGUAAUUCCUCAAUCUCAUGAGGAACCUAUGAUAUGUAUCAAUUGUAUAGCUGACAUGAUGCAGAGGAGGCGACAUAGCCUAGAGCUUAUUCAAGUUCAGUUGGUUAUAAUGUCAGUGGAUGACUCCUCAGCUGAUUGAUAACAGCAGUGUAUGUUGUCACUCAUGUUGGACCGUGGCCACGGUGUGGCUCUGCACCAAUCAAGGACAAAUAAUAUUUCAAAUGAAGAAGCAACCACUAGCACUGGUCACAGUUAACGUGGAUUAUCUUUGUUACAAAUACGUUCCAUAGACUGCAUAUUAACACGGAAAGAGAAUCACAUAUUCGAAAAUAAUGUAAUAAUGGAACAGAUUUCACCUUGUCAACUGCGGGGAUCUGACCAAAUAUGUCAUCCCUGAUGGCAGUGAGCUGAUCGAGCUGCUACACAUGCUGUGGAGCCCCAACAAACACAUGAUAGGAUGAGGAUUCAUUUGCCCUUAUAUUGGCCGAAUAACAGUAGGUUGCUGUGCUCAUGUUAUGACAAUUUUGUGGUUUUUGAGCUGGCCAAGGUAUCAGGAACAUGUAUUUCCACCUGCCUAGUUCCUAGACAAUAUUUUAUUGACCCAUGAGUCAGAUUAAAAAAAUAAUAUUUAAAAAAAAUGGUGUUUUAUUUUGCUUCUAACCUUUCUAGUCUUAAGCAAAAAAAAAAUUUUUUAAGGACUUGGAUACAAAAUGAUAUUUAUAUUCUGUUUCUUACUGGUAUAGACUAUUUAAUAAAUAACAAAUUACAUGCUGUAAUGUCUGUCCACCUCAGGCCAAAGGUCCCAUACUAAGUGGGCAUAA